UGCGAGGUGGUGGCUGGCUGUAGAGGUUGGUCUCUCGUCUUCAAAGUAGUUCUUUUGAUGAGGUUGCAGAAUCACUUAACUGAUUGUAAGAUACAAAGAGGCCGUUCGGGUCGUCCUGUUUAUGCUGGCAAGACACCGAGUCUUACUCCCUUCGCCUAGGCUUUUUUUCUUCAGUUACUCUUCCCAUUCCCUUUAGAAAGCCUUUGCUGCGUCAGUUUCAACUGCAGUGGACAGGGAGGAGGAUCUGCAGAAGGAGAAACUCCACGUUAAAAUCUCGAGGACAUUGGAACCCUGCAAUUUCCACUAUGAAGCUGCCAAAGGGAAGGAGGUUCUCGGAGAGUUUUGUUGGCUAAAUGCACGCUAAUUUGAUUCAGGAAGAAAGUAUUUCAGUGGAUGCAUUUGAUCUGUUUUAGCUAUUGGAUGAGGAAGAUUGGCAGUUCAGAAACUGAAACCAAACAUCACAUCAGAAUGUCAUGGUGUUGCCUCAUUUACGGAAACUCCAAUAUUAUUGGAUUUUGAAAAUGGAAGCUAGAAGCACUGCUCACAGAACCCAUGCACAUACUGUAUGUGUGGACUAGGCUUCAGCCAGCCAUCUGAUCUGUCAGAACAUAAAUGCAAUCACCACUGAAAGAAACUGAAAAUACGGGGAAUUUGGGAAGAGAUUCAAUUACCCAUCUGUGCAGGAACAACAUUGGUGAAGUCGCACUGGAAGAGGCCUUUCAACUGCCCAGAAUGUGAAGUGAAUGAUUUCACUAUCUGCCCUACUGAGGCAGCAGUGGAUCACAGCUGGGAGAAACAUUUAGGUGCUGCGACUGUGGGGUAGCGAUUCACAUCAAUCAUCCCACCUGAUGAUACAUGAGUUCACACAGAUGAGAGAUUGUUUAGGUGAUCUUGCUGUGAGACUGGAUUCAAGUGAUCACUUGCUCUCAAUAUACACCAGCAAAUUCAUGCUGAGAAAAGACCGUUCACUUGCUCCAAGUGUGGAAAGGAAUUCACUUGCUCAUCCAAGCUGCUGAAAAUCCAGUGAGUUUACAGCAGGGCGAGACUAUUCACCAGGUCUGUGUGGGAAAGGAUUUACUCGGGCAUUUAACCUGCUGCCGCAGCAUGCAUUCACUCUGGGGAGAGACCAUUCCCCUGCUCAGUGUGGAAAAGGAUUCAUUAGUUCAUCCAAUCUGAUAAGACACUGGCAAAUUCACACUGACAAGAGACCCUUCAAUUGCUAUGGGAAAUGCCACAAAAGUUCCCAGGAUGUACCAUCAGUGUUUUUAUGUUGUUGUGAAACCAUUCAAAUGUUUUCACUGCAAUAGACUUCAGGCAAUUAUCUCAACUGAGUAUGUACCAACACGCUCAUACUUUUGUGUAGGAAGGGAUUCACUCAGUGACUAUACUCAUUCUGCUGCUGCACUAGUAAGGGGAUACUGGGAAAUCACUGUUCAUCUGCUUCAAAUUUUGGGUAGAGAAUCUGUCAGUCCUGACACCUCGUGAAACAGUGAGGUCAAAAGUGACAAUAGUAAUUGUAUUUUUCUGAUAAUCCUAUCUAUGACUGGACCAUGUACCUUGGAGUCUGUUUCUGCUUAUGUUGACAAAUGCCAGCUCAGUCAUUUGUGGUAUUCUUCUGGAUACAAAUCAAAUAAAAUACCUUCAUGAUUA